rnacentral:rRNA from 1 species
GUGGGGAAUCUUCCGCAAUGGACGAAAGUCUGACGGAGCAACGCCGCGUGAGUGAUGAAGGUCUUCGGAUUGUAAAGCUCUGUUAAUCGGGACGAAAGAGCCUAGUGUGAAUAAUGCUAGGAAGUGACGGUACCGGAAUAGAAAGCCACGGCUAACUACGUGCCAGCAGCCGCGGUAAUACGUAGGUGGCAAGCGUUGUCCGGAAUUAUUGGGCGUAAAGCGCGCGCAGGCGGAUCUGCCAGUCUGUCUUAAAAGUUCGGGGCUUAACCCCGUGAUGGGAUGGAAACUACAGAUCUAGAGUAUCGGAGAGGAAAGUGGAAUUCCUAGUGUAGCGGUGAAAUGCGUAGAUAUUAGGAAGAACACCAGUGGCGAAGGCGACCACCUGGACUGAUACUGACACUGAGGUGCGAAAGCGUGGGGAGCAAACAGGAUUAGAUACCCCUGUAGUCC